GACGAACGCUGGCGGCGUGCUUAACACAUGCAAGUCGAACGGAAACGCCCUGCUUGUGUGCGGUUCUCGAGUGGCGAACGGGUGCGUGACACGUGAGUAACCUGCCCUUGACUUUGGGGUAACUUCAGGAAGCUGGGGCUAAUCUCGGAUAGGAGCUCCUGUUCCAUUGUGGGGGGUGGAUAGUUUCGGCGUGUGGGGAUGGACUCGCGGCUUAUCAACUUGCUAGUUGGCUAGUGGCUUACCAAGGCUUUCACGGGUCACCGGCAUGAGAGGGUGACCGGCCACAAUGGGACUGCGGUAGGGCACAGACUACAACGGGAGGCAAUAGUGGGAAAUAUUGGCCAACGGUAGGACGCCUGAUGAAGGAACGCCGCGUGCGGGAUGACGGCCUGCGGGUAAUAAAGCGCAGUAGCCUGUGACGAAGCGGGACUGACGGUACUGAGUAAAGAAGCACCGGCUAACUACGUG
rnacentral:rRNA from 1 species